rnacentral:tRNA from 1 species
GCCCGGCUAGCUCAGUCGGUAGAGCAUGAGACUCUUAAUCUCAGGGCUCGUGGGUUCGACCCCCACGUUGGGCG